GGGUUGUGAGGUUAAGCGACUAAGCGUACACGGUGGAUGCCCUGGCAGUCAGAGGCGAUGAAGGACGUGCUAAUCUGCGAAAAGCGUCGGUAAGGUGAUAUGAACCGUUACAGCCGGCGAUGUCCGAAUGGGGAAACCCAGUGCAAUUCGUUGCACUAUCGUUAACUGAAUACAUAGGUUAACGAGGCGAACCGGGGGAACUGAAACAUCUAAGUACCCCGAGGAAAAGAAAUCAACCGAGAUUCCCCCAGUAGCGGCGAGCGAACGGGGAGCAGCCCAGAGUCUGAAUCAGCUUGUGUGUUAGUGGAACGGUCUGGAAAGUCCGACGGUACAGGGUGAUAGUCCCGUACACCAAAAUGCACAGGUUGUGAACUCGAAGAGUAGGGCGGGACACGUGGUAUCCUGUCUGAAUAUGGGGGGACCAUCCUCCAAGGCUAAAUACUCCUGACUGACCGAUAGUGAACCAGUACCGUGAGGGAAAGGCGAAAAGAACCCCGGCGAGGGGAGUGAAAAAGAACCUGAAACCGUGUACGUACAAGCAGUGGGAGCACCUUCGGGUGUGACUGCGUACCUUUUGUAUAAUGGGUCAGCGACUUAUAUUCUGUAGCAAGGUUAACCGUAUAGGGGAGCCGCAGGGAAACCGAGUCUUAACUGGGCGUUAAGUUGCAGGGUAUAGACCCGAAACCCGGUGAUCUAGCCAUGGGCAGGUUGAAGGUUGGGUAACACUAACUGGAGGACCGAACCGACUAAUGUUGAAAAAUUAGCGGAUGACUUGUGGCUGGGGGUGAAAGGCCAAUCAAACCGGGAGAUAGCUGGUUCUCCCCGAAAGCUAUUUAGGUAGCGCCUCGUGAAUUCAUCUUCGGGGGUAGAGCACUGUUUCGGCUAGGGGGUCAUCCCGACUUACCAACCCGAUGCAAACUACGAAUACCGAAGAAUGUUAUCACGGGAGACACACGGCGGGUGCUAACGUCCGUCGUGAAGAGGGAAACAACCCAGACCGCCAGCUAAGGUCCCAAAGUCAUGGUUAAGUGGGAAACGAUGUGGGAAGGCACAGACAGCCAGGAUGUUGGCUUAGAAGCAGCCAUCAUUUAAAGAAAGCGUAAUAGCUCACUGGUCGAGUCGGCCUGCGCGGAAGAUGUAACGGGGCUAAACCAUGCACCGAAGCUGCGGCAGCGACACUAUGUGUUGUUGGGUAGGGGAGCGUUCUGUAAGCCUGCGAAGGUGACCUGUGAGGGUUGCUGGAGGUAUCAGAAGUGCGAAUGCUGACAUAAGUAACGAUAAAGCGGGUGAAAAGCCCGCUCGCCGGAAGACCAAGGGUUCCUGUCCAACGUUAAUCGGGGCAGGGUGAGUCGACCCCUAAGGCGAGGCCGAAAGGCGUAGUCGAUGGGAAACAGGUUAAUAUUCCUGUACUUGGUGUUACUGCGAAGGGGGGACGGAGAAGGCUAUGUUAGCCGGGCGACGGUUGUCCCGGUUUAAGCAUGUAGGCUGGUUAUCCAGGCAAAUCCGGAUAAUCAAGGCUGAGGUGUGAUGACGAGGCACUACGGUGCUGAAGUAACAAAUGCCCUGCUUCCAGGAAAAGCCUCUAAGCAUCAGGUAACAUCAAAUCGUACCCCAAACCGACACAGGUGGUCAGGUAGAGAAUACCAAGGCGCUUGAGAGAACUCGGGUGAAGGAACUAGGCAAAAUGGUGCCGUAACUUCGGGAGAAGGCACGCUGGUGUGUAGGUGAAGCCCCUGCGGGUGGAGCUGAGACCAGUCGAAGAUACCAGCUGGCUGCAACUGUUUAUUAAAAACACAGCACUGUGCAAACACGAAAGUGGACGUAUACGGUGUGACGCCUGCCCGGUGCCGGAAGGUUAAUUGAUGGGGUUAUCCGUAAGGAGAAGCUCUUGAUCGAAGCCCCGGUAAACGGCGGCCGUAACUAUAACGGUCCUAAGGUAGCGAAAUUCCUUGUCGGGUAAGUUCCGACCUGCACGAAUGGCGUAAUGAUGGCCAGGCUGUCUCCACCCGAGACUCAGUGAAAUUGAACUCGCUGUGAAGAUGCAGUGUACCCGCGGCAAGACGGAAAGACCCCGUGAACCUUUACUAUAGCUUGACACUGAACAUUGAGCCUUGAUGUGUAGGAUAGGUGGGAGGCUUUGAAGCGUGGACGCCAGUCUGCGUGGAGCCAACCUUGAAAUACCACCCUUUAAUGUUUGAUGUUCUAACGUUGGCCCCUUACCGGGGUUGCGGACAGUGUCUGGUGGGUAGUUUGACUGGGGCGGUCUCCUCCCAAAGCGUAACGGAGGAGCACGAAGGUUAGCUAAUCCUGGUCGGACAUCAGGAGGUUAGUGCAAUGGCAUAAGCUAGCUUGACUGCGAGCGUGACGGCGCGAGCAGGUGCGAAAGCAGGUCAUAGUGAUCCGGUGGUUCUGAAUGGAAGGGCCAUCGCUCAACGGAUAAAAGGUACUCCGGGGAUAACAGGCUGAUACCGCCCAAGAGUUCAUAUCGACGGCGGUGUUUGGCACCUCGAUGUCGGCUCAUCACAUCCUGGGGCUGAAGUAGGUCCCAAGGGUAUGGCUGUUCGCCAUUUAAAGUGGUACGCGAGCUGGGUUUAGAACGUCGUGAGACAGUUCGGUCCCUAUCUGCCGUGGGCGCUGGAGAAUUGAGGGGGGCUGCUCCUAGUACGAGAGGACCGGAGUGGACGCAUCACUGGUGUUCGGGUUGUCAUGCCAAUGGCACUGCCCGGUAGCUAAAUGCGGAAGAGAUAAGUGCUGAAAGCAUCUAAGCACGAAACUUGCCCCGAGAUGAGUUCUCCCUGAGACUUUAAGUCUCCUGAAGGAACGUUAAAGACGAUGACGUUGAUAGGCCGGGUGUGUAAGCGCAGCGAUGCGUUGAGCUAACCGGUACUAAUGAACCGUGAGGCUUAACCUUACAACGCCGAAG
rnacentral:rRNA from 1 species